GGUGACGAGCGGCGGACGGGUGAGUAAUGUCUGGGAAACUGCCUGAUGGAGGGGGAUAACUACUGGAAACGGUAGCUAAUACCGCAUAACGUCGCAAGACCAAAGUGGGGGACCUUCGGGCCUCAUGCCAUCAGAUGUGCCCAGAUGGGAUUAGCUAGUAGGUGGGGUAACGGCUCACCUAGGCGACGAUCCCUAGCUGGUCUGAGAGGAUGACCAGCCACACUGGAACUGAGACACGGUCCAGACUCCUACGGGAGGCAGCAGUGGGGAAUAUUGCACAAUGGGCGCAAGCCUGAUGCAGCCAUGCCGCGUGUGUGAAGAAGGCCUUCGGGUUGUAAAGCACUUUCAGCGGGGAGGAAGGCGGUAAGGUUAAUAACCUUGUCGAUUGACGUUACCCGCAGAAGAAGCACCGGCUAACUCCGUGCCAGCAGCCGCGGUAAUACGGAGGGUGCAAGCGUUAAUCGGAAUUACUGGGCGUAAAGCGCACGCAGGCGGUCUGUCAAGUCGGAUGUGAAAUCCCCGGGCUCAACCUGGGAACUGCAUUCGAAACUGGCAGGCUAGAGUCUUGUAGAGGGGGGUAGAAUUCCAGGUGUAGCGGUGAAAUGCGUAGAGAUCUGGAGGAAUACCGGUGGCGAAGGCGGCCCCCUGGACAAAGACUGACGCUCAGGUGCGAAAGCGUGGGGAGCAAACAGGAUUAGAUACCCUGGUAGUCCACGCCGUAAACGAUGUCGAUUUGGAGGUUGUGCCCUUGAGGCGUGGCUUCCGGAGCUAACGCGUUAAAUCGACCGCCUGGGGAGUACGGCCGCAAGGUUAAAACUCAAAUGAAUUGACGGGGGCCCGCACAAGCGGUGGAGCAUGUGGUUUAAUUCGAUGCAACGCGAAGAACCUUACCUGGUCUUGACAUCCACAGAACUUUCCAGAGAUGGAUUGGUGCCUUCGGGAACUGUGAGACAGGUGCUGCAUGGCUGUCGUCAGCUCGUGUUGUGAAAUGUUGGGUUAAGUCCCGCAACGAGCGCAACCCUUAUCCUUUGUUGCCAGCGGUUCGGCCGGGAACUCAAAGGAGACUGCCAGUGAUAAACUGGAGGAAGGUGGGGAUGACGUCAAGUCAUCAUGGCCCUUACGACCAGGGCUACACACGUGCUACAAUGGCAUAUACAAAGAGAAGCGACCUCGCGAGAGCAAGCGGACCUCAUAAAGUAUGUCGUAGUCCGGAUUGGAGUCUGCAACUCGACUCCAUGAAGUCGGAAUCGCUAGUAAUCGUAGAUCAGAAUGCUACGGUGAAUACGUUCCCGGGCCUUGUACACACCGCCCGUCACACCAUGGGAGUGGGUUGCAAAAGAAGUAGGUAGCUUAACCUUCGGGAGGGCGCUUACCACUUUGUGAUUCAUGACUGGGGUGAAGUCGUAACAAGGUAACCGUAGGGGAACCUGCGGUUG
rnacentral:rRNA from 1 species